rnacentral:rRNA from 1 species
GAUGAACGCUGGCGGCGUGCCUAACACAUGCAAGUCGAACGGGAGCCUUGAUUUCGGUCGAGGUGAGAGUGGCGAACGGGUGAGUAACACGUAGCUGACCUGCCCUGGAGCGGGGGAUAACUGCUGGAAACGGCGGCUAAUACCCCAUACGUUCAUGGUGGUUAGAGGGCCAUGAGGAAAGCGAGCAGUGCUCUGGGAAGGGGGCUGCGGUCCAUCAGCUAGUUGGCAGGGUAAAGGCCUACCAAGGCGAAGACGGAUAGGGGGCCUGAGAGGGUGACCCCCCACACUGGGACUGAGACACGGCCCAGACUCCUACGGGAGGCAGCAGUGAGGAAUAUUGCACAAUAGGCGCAAGCCUGAUGCAGCAACGCCGCGUGGACGAUGAAGGCCUUCGGGUUGUAAAGUCCUUUUCUGUGGGAAGAAGCGGACGGUACCACAGGAAGAAGUGUCGGCUAACUACGUG